UACGAAGGGGGCUAGCGUUGUUCGGAAUCACUGGGCGUAAAGCGCACGUAGGCGGAUUGUUAAGUCAGGGGUGAAAUCCUGGAGCUCAACUCCAGAACUGCCUUUGAUACUGGCGAUCUCGAGUCCGGGAGAGGUGAGUGGAACUGCGAGUGUAGAGGUGAAAUUCGUAGAUAUUCGCAAGAACACCAGUGGCGAAGGCGGCUCACUGGCCCGAUACUGACGCUGAGGUGCGAAAGCGUGGGGAGCAAACAGG
rnacentral:rRNA from 1 species